rnacentral:misc_RNA from 1 species
UCUCUCUCUCUCUCUCUCUGUUUGGAAACUAAAAAUUUGUAAGAAUUCAAUUCAAUUUAUUUCAUUUUUUUUGUCAAUUCUCAUAUUUGGAAAAAUAAGGAAAAGAAUUCAAUUCUUUUAAAUUAAAAAAGAAUUCAUUUUACAAGAAAUAAAAAUCAGGCCAAAAGUUGUAUGAUUGUGUGAAAUUCAAUUUGAUUAUUUUCACAUGAAGCCUUUUUGUCCUCCAUUUUAUUUUGAGAAAAUUCUUACCUAAAUCUAAGCGUAUAACUUGAUUUACACACCCAACCAAUAAGAAAUUAACGUACUAUGAUUUUAGAUAAGACAUACCAUAUUUUUUGAUAGGAUUGACCAUAAUUUUAAAUGAUGUGUCAAUUCUAUAUUGGAUGGGUAUAUAUACCUGGUGUACGUCUUUCCCUUUCUUUUAUGGCCUGCACUCAACUAUUUGAAUCAUUAGUGAGCCUUUUCAUAGUGUUUACUCUUUAUUUUCAGGAAUUAUGUUUUCCCUCUGAUAUAGAAACAAGGUUUUUAAAAGUAAGGCUUUGGUUGCCCUAUCUGAACUGAACUUCUAGCAAAUUUGUAUCAAUGGGCACAAAUACAAUGUCUCUAUCUCUUUGUAGAGUGUAAAUGAACAGAGAAUCAAGACUAGUUAUAAAUUUUCUAUCAUGAAUGCUAGAAUAACUACAAUCAACUCAGCUCCUGAAUCUUGUAGUCUUUUAUUUUGCUUAAAAAAUGAUGCAGUUUGACACUGCAUCUCCUCUAAUUCAUCUAGCAAAGACCUGACCCACAUAACCAUGUUGCCAAACCGAUUGCAACCUCCUUGCCAUCCACUGAUCUUUGAAAAAUAGAAGGAUAUUUUAUCAAACUAUCACUCACAGAGUUUUCUUAAUGUUUUGUUGUUUUGAUAAUUGGUAACAAGGUUAUUAUAGUCCAUAUGAAGAAUAAAAAAGGAUAGUGGAGUGCAAUUAUUGCUACCCAUUGCAAAGAUAUAGUGAGGUGGAGUUACUAAAUAAAUUAUAAAUAAAAAUAAUUAUAUUUAUUAUUAUUAAAAUAUAAAAAAUAUAUAAUUCGAUCAGUUAACCUAACUGAAAAUAAAAACCAGUUCAAAAAACCAAAUCAAAACUGAAUUUACCAGUUCAAUUAACUACCCUUUUCGGUUCAGUUUUACUGGUUUACAAUUGGCAGACCGCAUUUUCAGUUUUGUGUCCUCACCCUUAGUUCUGAUAGGGUGCUAAAAUCUUGAGGGCAUAGUUUUUAGCUGGUCUAGAAUUCUGGUAUAUGUUCUGCAGCCUGCAGGAGGCCUUUUUAGAUCCUAGAGAUUGAAAUGUGGGUGUUCCCAUAAUUUUUAGCUAGUUGCCAAGAAAAAAAUUGCAUUAACUUUGUCACCAUCAAGGCGUCAACCUGAUUCUGAAGAUGUAUAGAAGUUUCUUGUGAUCCAAAAGAGAAAUUUUGUUCAUCAGAAGCAACUUACAAUACCAUGGACCUACUUAAAAAACAGUUUUGCUUUUUAAGAGUGAAAGUAUGAAAUGAUUUAACAGUGAAACAGGGUUUGCGUCAUACUGGAUUGUUUGUGUUGCUCUUCUGCUUUGAUGUUAAGUCAGGCAAUUUGACAGUCGUCAAUUAACUAUUUAAUCCUUUAAUGGAUUCCCAGGUAUUAGGAGAGGAUGAAAAC